rfam:Bacillus marisflavi strain JCM 11544 scaffold1, whole genome shotgun sequence.
CGAAUGGCUGUGACGAAGAGGAGUACCUUCGAUGAUCCACUCAAGAGAGCUAGUGGUUGGUGUGAACUAGCGUGGUGAACGAUGGGAAUGGACUUCCGAGCCCCCAGACCGAAACGGGUGACCGAGGUAGGCUCUGGCGAAUGUCCGAUCGUUAUCCGGUACACGCAUUCAAGCAUGAGCUUCGAUGCGGUCAAGCGGGCUGUAAUUACAGUCAACAAAGGUGGCACCACGGGUAUCUCGUCCUUUUC